CACGUAGGGAGCAAGCGUUGUCCGGAUUUAUUGGGCGUAAAGAGCGUGUAGGCGGCCGUACAGGUCAGCUGUGAAAACUCGAGGCUCAACCUCGAGACGUCGGUUGAAACCGUACGGCUAGAGUCCGGAAGAGGAGAGUGGAAUUCCUGGUGUAGCGGUGAAAUGCGCAGAUAUCAGGAGGAACACCGGUGGCGAAGGCGGGUCUCUGGGCCGGUACCGACGCUGAGGAGCGAAAGCGUGGGGAGCGAACAGG
rnacentral:rRNA from 1 species